ACAAUCAAAGGUACCAUAUAUCUGGCUCUAUAAAAAGGGACGUAUGCCAAUCAUUAAGGGGAGGACGUUAUCUUUACCCUGUAGAAAUUCUUCCGUAAAUCACACUAAAGCCUGAAAAUACUAAAGGCAGUUCAGAGUUCAUCAUUAAAACUCUGAAUGAACGGAGCUAGGCCCUGACAAAAUCAACUAAGCACAAAAGCGAGUAGAAGGAAGGAGCCAGCUAACGAGAAGAACGAGAGACAAGGGGAAAGCAUUUACCUUUGAAUUUGUCUUUCUGGUAAACCUCCAGACGAUUUUUUUCCUCUUUAACUUAGUAUGUGCAUACGAGCAUGGCAAGUGCCUGUUGAAAGCUAAUUUCGCUUUAUGUAUAUCCAAAUCGUGUUUUGUCUUUUGUUCGUCAUGAAAAUUCUUUGUUGCGUGAGAAAACUUAUUUGUGUGUUGGGGUCUAAUGUGAUUUUCUUGCUUGCUAAAAAGGGGUUUUGUUUAGUUUAAGGUAACAAAGCUUUAAGAUUAAUGGUUCGAUCUGAACAUUUGGUAAAGAUUUAGAAGAAAAUAAGCUCGAAUUCGUGUUUAAGAUGCAUAUUAGGGUAGAGAUAUUGACCCAUUGGAGAGGGCUGCGGCGCCACCAUCCCUCUCUAGAGAAACCAAUGGAAGAAGAUGAUCGGAGCGGGUAGAGAAAGAAGAGCGAGUUUGGGUUGUAAGAGAGAAGAGAGAAAGAGAGAGAGAGUUUUUUCGUUGUCUUGCUGGUGAAAUUACUUUUUAAGACUCAUUAUUUCUCAAAUUCCAUGUCUAAAAAAAUAUUUAAUGAACGAUGCAACGUGUGGAAAUUUGGUUCCUUGCUGACCGUUUUUCUCCAUUACUUUGUCUUAUUAAGAGAGGGCUUUUAAUUCGCAAUAAUUCUGAUUCAAUAUGCCGUCAGCUACUGGUCUUUCCAAUGGACUUUUUGGAUUCCCCAUUCAAUGCCAUUGUUUGUAUGCCACGAAUAACUUAUUGAAAGAGAGAAGGUGUGGCCGACUACCUCAUUCCCUUCCGUCUUUUUUAGGGUUUUUCGCUACCUGGGUUGGGCUUGGGCCUUCGACCCAACCCGAUGGACAGAGGUAGCGCCAUUGAGCCUCAUGGGCCCUUGUGGUUUGCUACUCUUGGGCAAACCCCCAUUUUAUUGCAUACCCUGUUUUAUUUUAAUUAUUUUAUAUUUUAUUCGCCUAUUUUAUAUUUUAAUUUUUUGAGUAAGAUGAUAAUAUUAAUAUUAGUAAAUAAAGAUACAUUAUUUUCUCAACUAAAUAUUUUAUCCUUG
rnacentral:lncRNA from 1 species